rnacentral:rRNA from 1 species
GUCUUUUUGAAUUUUAUUUAAGGUUUGGCCUGCUCAAUGAAUUUUAAUAGCUGCGGUAUUUUGACCGUACAAAGGUAGCAUAAUCAAUAGUUUUUUAAUUGAAAACUGGAAUGAAGGGUUGGAUAAGAAAAUGACUGUCUCGGAUUAAUUUUUUUUAGAAUUUUAUUUUUUAGUUAAAAAGCUUAAAUGUUUUUAAAAGACGAGAAGACCCUAUAGAGUUUUAUUAAAAUAAGUUUUUGAAUGUAAAGAAUUUUAAGUUUGUAAAUUUAUUUAAAUUUGGUUGGGGUGAUUAAUAAAUUUAGUAAACUUUAUUUUUUUUUAUUCAAUGAUAUUUGUUUUUUUGAUCCUUUUUUAAGAUUAUAAGAUUAAAUUACCUUAGGGAUAACAGCGUAAUUUAUUUAAAGAGUUCAAAUCGAAAAAUAAGUUUGCGACCUCGAUGUUGGAUUAAAAUUAAUUUUUGGUGUAGAAGCUGAGAAAUUGGGUCUGUUCGACCUUUAAAAUUUUAC